rnacentral:rRNA from 1 species
AGUUCGGAUUGAAGGCUGAAAUUCGCCUUCAUGAAGUCGGAAUUGCUAGUAAUGGCAGGUCAGCAUACUGCCGUGAAUACGUUCCCGGGCCCUGUACACACCGCCCGUCACACCAUGAGAGUUGGAGAUACCCGAAGCCUAUGAGCUAACUUUUAGAGGCAGUAGUCGAAGGUAGAAUCAAUGAUUGGGGUGAAGUCGUAACAAGGUAGC